GGGCGGCUGGCGCAAUGGUAGCGCGUUGGUUUUCGGUUAUCCCCAAAUCGCCAAAGGUUGUAGGUUCGAGCCCUGCGUCGCUCG
rfam:Fungal sp. No.11243 DNA, scaffold: sccafold0004.